rnacentral:rRNA from 1 species
CCUACGGGUGGCAGCAGUGGGGAAUAUUGGACAAUGGGGGCAACCCUGAUCCAGCCAUGCCGCGUGUGUGAAGAAGGCCCUCGGGUUGUAAAGCACUUUCAGUGAGGAAGAACGCCUGGUGGUUAAUACCCAUCAGGAAAGACAUCACUCACAGAAGAAGCACCGGCUAACUCCGUGCCAGCAGCCGCGGUAAUACGGAGGGUGCGAGCGUUAAUCGGAAUUACUGGGCGUAAAGCGCGCGUAGGUGGCUUGAUAAGCCGGUUGUGAAAGCCCCGGGCUCAACCUGGGAACGGCAUCCGGAACUGUCAAGCUAGAGUGCAGGAGAGGAAGGUAGAAUUCCCGGUGUAGCGGUGAAAUGCGUAGAGAUCGGGAGGAAUACCAGUGGCGAAGGCGGCCUUCUGGACUGACACUGACACUGAGGUGCGAAAGCGUGGGUAGCAAACAGGAUUAGAUACACCUGUAGUC